CCCAGGUGUACAGCAGGCCUGAUCUGGCCUUCCUCUGGAGGGGCAGACACCUACUAGAGCCUAGCCUCUGGCACAGUACUGCCCCUUCCAAACAGCAGACUACCACAGGAGGUCAAGCCGGGGAUGGAGGUCAAGCCAAUUCUACCCACACCAACGUGCACAGGACCCAGCUCCAGGAUGCAGUAGCAUUCAUUGAGGGACACCAGCAGGGUCUGGAAGUCCAACAUCAAGGUGAGGUACAGACAAUUCCUACUAGAAUAUAGAAAAGAAAUGGUAAUAUCUCAGAUAUACACUGCAAGGAAGGAAGACACAUAGACAAACAUGAAAAAAAUGAGGAAGGAAAGUGCCCCAAACAAGGACACUAUAAUAACAGAACCCACUGACAGCGAAGUUGAUGAAAUAUCACAGAAGGAGUUCAGAAGGUUCAUAAUUAAAAUGAUCUGUGAAUUAAAGAAUAACUAAAUGAGCAAAUAUAAGCAAAAAUUGAUCACUCCAACAAUGAGAUAAGAGAGCAAAUAAAGGUAACAAAAUUAUUUCAAGAUAGAGAUAGAGAUCCUGAAGAGAAAACAGUCAGAAAUCCAUGAAAUGAAGGAUACAAUAAAUCAAUUUAAAAAACUCAAUAGACGGACAGAAGGCGGUGCCGCAUGACACGGUCAGUGCAGAUGGAAGGUGAUAAAGAAAGCAGAGGCUUUGCUUAUGGGUCACCAGACUGAGCUCUGAACACAACAUAAGGUAACCCUAGCACCCACCACCACACCAAACACCCUACAUGAGAAACAGACAGAAUCCAUCUUGGAAAACAUUACUCACCAUCUAUCAGUGGGCGUGGCUACCAGCAUGAUUCUGCGGCUGAUCAGAGAUAAUUUUAGAACUAUACAAGAG
rnacentral:lncRNA from 1 species